GUCCAGGGGCGGGAACCCACAACCUUCUGCUUACCGGGCAGGUGCCAUGUCCACUAGGCUUACCCUGGA
rnacentral:tRNA from 1 species